rfam:Salmo salar isolate Sally breed double haploid chromosome ssa02, whole genome shotgun sequence.
AAAUGCACUAACUGUAAGUCGCUCUGGAUAAGAACGUCUGCUAAAUGACUAAAA